rnacentral:rRNA from 1 species
AUGUGCAGGGGACUUAGGAUCCAGAUGAGAAGCAAAAGUUGUUUUCCAGCUAUGACUCUUCCUGACUCAGUCCGCAGGUGGCAGUCGACCUGGUUCUACUGCAAAGACCAGCCGACUCCUGGACAGGCGACGGGUCUUCCCCCUUUCUUCCUGAACCGAGCAGAAAAACCUUCUACUCUGAAAGUGACACCGGAAGAGAAGGCACAAGUCAAAGUGUUGGUUGGUCGAGUGGUUCAGCUUGUCCGCGAUGGGGUGACUGGUAUGGAUUUGUUAGAGAUCUUCCUUAGGAGACGUAUCCAGCCGCUCCAAGCUCGUGACCAUCCGAUGUGGAUGUAUUCGGGUCUCGAUGACACCACUCGGAUUCACCCGGAGGAGGUCGACGAGGCUACGUUGGAGGGGUGGUUGUCAAGUAUCACAGGGGACAAAGACAACCCCCGAGGAGCCAGGAGGAUUCCUCCACUCGACCAAUCGUAUGAAGUAGAUAAGGUCCGAUUAUGCAUCUCUGACUGUGGCCUUGCUUUCUUCAUUCUGUUUGCUUGA